CCAUCCCUGACUGCAUGAACGAAAUUUUGGCCGCUAAAUUGAAAAAGUCUUGCAAGGCGGCGAAUACAAUUGCAAGAAGAGAAGAACCAAGAGCCGAGACCGCACGAUUCCCCUCCCUUCGUCCCAGAGCAAGGAGCCGCACGCCCGUCCCGCACUCGCCGCUGCGCAGCCUGGCGCGCACGCCGGGGGCACGCUCACCUGCUUCGCCGUGGCCUGGCUCGGAGAAACGCUGCUGGAGGGCACCGGAGCCUACCUGAGGAGUAUGAAUUUUGAUCGGUCACUUUUUAACAACGUGGUAAAUAACGGCUGAGGGUGACUCCGAGGCAGCUCGCAGCAGGUCACGUAUCCAGUCCCGCCUGUUCCCCCAGCAGCCCCAUGUGACGCCCACUCAGCGAGCGAGGGGCCCGGGGCGCACGGCGGCAAGACCCUCGGCCCGCCAGAGGCCACGGUCCCGACCGGCAGGACGGAGAGCCGCGCGAGAGAGGUCACUCACUGGGAACGGCGGACGCUGGCCCCGGCUCAGGGGCCCUGGUUUUGUUUUUUCUGGCUGGGGGUGAGCAACUGCACCCGCCGGGGGGAGGGUGUCAGCAGCGGGUUAGUUAUUAUCUGCUCUGGAGCGGAGCCUGGCACAUGGCAAACACUUGGGAAACGUUACUUAUUAGCUCCAUUCCACCUACUCCUGCGGAACAGUAUAAAGGGUGGCCAUGAACCUGGCCUGCCGGCGGAGGACUGGGCCUGGAGGAAUUCAGCCACUUGCCAAGAUCUCACGAGCACCGAGUAGCGAACCUUGAAUUGGAAAACAAGUCUGGCAGCUCCUCUUUGAGCUCACCAGGUGUGCACUCAAUGAAUGAGCUCACAGAACUUCCCGGAACACACUCCCUUCCCUGCCUCUCCCGCUCCCAACACAAAUGUCUGCUACGGCGCCAGGGCACAAAAAGACAGAACGUGACGCAAAGAGACGAACGGGCGUCUGUAGGGGGCACCCAGGCGAGGGGGGCUGUCGACAGAUCACACAGGGCCUCCCGGAGGACGGACGGACAGAGGGACGGGAAGGGGGCAGUGGGAGGCUGCGGGCAUGGCUGCUCAGAGACACGGAGGCCCGGCUGCUGCGGUGGCUGCUGACGCCAAGGACAUGAGUGACGGCGGGGGGGCGGUGCCGGGGCUGGAGGGCCGGGCUGGAAGGGGAGCGGGAGGCCCCACCUGGGCCCCAGAGUCCCGCCUCGGCGCUGCAGUUCUGGGGGCUGUGCGGCAGCUCGGGUCACGAGCAGUCAAAUAUUAAUCCUGAGGCCAGAUAGGAAGAGGACGAAAGUGCCGAAUUAAUCAUUAAUAAUGACCGUGGCAUUAAGAUUUAAUGUGUCACACGGCAGGACGCCGAAGUCAGCCGAGUCCCGGGGGUGGGGGGCGGGGCAGGGAGGGGGCGUACAGAAACCCAGGGCCCCCUGUCCCCUGUCCCCGUGGGCCGCGUGGCUGAGAGGGGCCCUCAGCCGCAAACACAGGAAGCAGCACCUACAAGGGCAAAAGUCACAGACACCUCCCGCCCUCAGCCAGCCGGCUGCCCGGUCAGGCCCCAGGGGCCAGUGCACUCGCUGAGACCUCGGGGCGUUCACCCGAUGGGAGGGGCUGCGCGCCACGCGGCCGCUCGCAGAUCUGGGGGGCCUCGGCCACGUUCGAGGAGGGUCCUGUCCAUCGUCGACGCUGGGCACGUCCUGUGCCGAUACUCGGUCGACACGUGAUAGCAGCUCACUGGAAGCUGUGCGGCACCAUCAGUGCCCGGAGCCGCA